UUAAGCGACUAAGCGUACACGGUGGAUGCCCUGGCAGUCAGAGGCGAUGAAGGACGUGCUAAUCUGCGAUAAGCGUCGGUAAGGUGAUAUGAACCGUUAUAACCGGCGAUUUCCGAAUGGGGAAACCCAGUGUGUUUCGACACACUAUCAUUAACUGAAUCCAUAGGUUAAUGAGGCGAACCGGGGGAACUGAAACAUCUAAGUACCCCGAGGAAAAGAAAUCAACCGAGAUUCCCCCAGUAGCGGCGAGCGAACGGGGAGCAGCCCAGAGCCUGAAUCAGUGUGUGUGUUAGUGGAAGCGUCUGGAAAGGCGCGCGAUACAGGGUGACAGCCCCGUACACAAAAAUGCACAUACUGUGAGCUCGAUGAGUAGGGCGGGACACGUGGUAUCCUGUCUGAAUAUGGGGGGACCAUCCUCCAAGGCUAAAUACUCCUGACUGACCGAUAGUGAACCAGUACCGUGAGGGAAAGGCGAAAAGAACCCCGGCGAGGGGAGUGAAAAAGAACCUGAAACCGUGUACGUACAAGCAGUGGGAGCCUCUUUUAUGGGGUGACUGCGUACCUUUUGUAUAAUGGGUCAGCGACUUAUAUUCUGUAGCAAGGUUAACCGAAUAGGGGAGCCGAAGGGAAACCGAGUCUUAACCGGGCGUUAAGUUGCAGGGUAUAGACCCGAAACCCGGUGAUCUAGCCAUGGGCAGGUUGAAGGUUGGGUAACACUAACUGGAGGACCGAACCGACUAAUGUUGAAAAAUUAGCGGAUGACUUGUGGCUGGGGGUGAAAGGCCAAUCAAACCGGGAGAUAGCUGGUUCUCCCCGAAAGCUAUUUAGGUAGCGCCUCGUGAAUUCAUCUCCGGGGGUAGAGCACUGUUUCGGCAAGGGGGUCAUCCCGACUUACCAACCCGAUGCAAACUGCGAAUACCGGAGAAUGUUAUCACGGGAGACACACGGCGGGUGCUAACGUCCGUCGUGAAGAGGGAAACAACCCAGACCGCCAGCUAAGGUCCCAAAGUCAUGGUUAAGUGGGAAACGAUGUGGGAAGGCCCAGACAGCCAGGAUGUUGGCUUAGAAGCAGCCAUCAUUUAAAGAAAGCGUAAUAGCUCACUGGUCGAGUCGGCCUGCGCGGAAGAUGUAACGGGGCUAAACAAUGCACCGAAGCUGCGGCAGCGACACUGUGUGUUGUUGGGUAGGGGAGCGUUCUGUAAGCCUGUGAAGGUGUACUGUAAGGUAUGCUGGAGGUAUCAGAAGUGCGAAUGCUGACAUAAGUAACGAUAAAGCGGGUGAAAAGCCCGCUCGCCGGAAGACCAAGGGUUCCUGUCCAACGUUAAUCGGGGCAGGGUGAGUCGACCCCUAAGGCGAGGCCGAAAGGCGUAGUCGAUGGGAAACAGGUUAAUAUUCCUGUACUUGGUGUUACUGCGAAGGGGGGACGGAGAAGGCUAUGUUGGCCGGGCGACGGUUGUCCCGGUUUAAGCGUGUAGGCUGGUUUUCCAGGCAAAUCCGGAAAAUCAAGGCUGAGGCGUGAUGACGAGGCACUACGGUGCUGAAGCAACAAAUGCCCUGCUUCCAGGAAAAGCCUCUAAGCAUCAGGUAACAUCAAAUCGUACCCCAAACCGACACAGGUGGUCAGGUAGAGAAUACCAAGGCGUUUGAGAGAACUCGGGUGAAGGAACUAGGCAAAAUGGUGCCGUAACUUCGGGAGAAGGCACGCUGAUAUGUAGGUGAAGUCCCUCGCGGAUGGAGCUGAAAUCAGUCGAAGAUACCAGCUGGCUGCAACUGUUUAUUAAAAACACAGCACUGUGCAAACACGAAAGUGGACGUAUACGGUGUGACGCCUGCCCGGUGCCGGAAGGUUAAUUGAUGGGGUCAGCGCAAGCGAAGCUCUUGAUCGAAGCCCCGGUAAACGGCGGCCGUAACUAUAACGGUCCUAAGGUAGCGAAAUUCCUUGUCGGGUAAGUUCCGACCUGCACGAAUGGCGUAAUGAUGGCCAGGCUGUCUCCACCCGAGACUCAGUGAAAUUGAACUCGCUGUGAAGAUGCAGUGUACCCGCGGCAAGACGGAAAGACCCCGUGAACCUUUACUAUAGCUUGACACUGAACAUUGAGCCUUGAUGUGUAGGAUAGGUGGGAGGCUUUGAAGUGUGGACGCCAGUCUGCAUGGAGCCGACCUUGAAAUACCACCCUUUAAUGUUUGAUGUUCUAACGUGGACCCGUGAUCCGGGUUGCGGACAGUGUCUGGUGGGUAGUUUGACUGGGGCGGUCUCCUCCUAAAGAGUAACGGAGGAGCACGAAGGUUGGCUAAUCCUGGUCGGACAUCAGGAGGUUAGUGCAAUGGCAUAAGCCAGCUUGACUGCGAGCGUGACGGCGCGAGCAGGUGCGAAAGCAGGUCAUAGUGAUCCGGUGGUUCUGAAUGGAAGGGCCAUCGCUCAACGGAUAAAAGGUACUCCGGGGAUAACAGGCUGAUACCGCCCAAGAGUUCAUAUCGACGGCGGUGUUUGGCACCUCGAUGUCGGCUCAUCACAUCCUGGGGCUGAAGUAGGUCCCAAGGGUAUGGCUGUUCGCCAUUUAAAGUGGUACGCGAGCUGGGUUUAGAACGUCGUGAGACAGUUCGGUCCCUAUCUGCCGUGGGCGCUGGAGAACUGAGGGGGGCUGCUCCUAGUACGAGAGGACCGGAGUGGACGCAUCACUGGUGUUCGGGUUGUCAUGCCAAUGGCACUGCCCGGUAGCUAAAUGCGGAAGAGAUAAGUGCUGAAAGCAUCUAAGCACGAAACUUGCCCCGAGAUGAGUUCUCCCUGACCCUUUAAGGGUCCUGAAGGAACGUUGAAGACGACGACGUUGAUAGGCCGGGUGUGUAAGCGCAGCGAUGCGUUGAGCUAACCGGUACUAAUGAACCGUGAGGCUUAACCU
rnacentral:rRNA from 1 species